AAAAGAAUGCAAGAAUCGGAAAGUUGUAGCGUUUACCUGGAGAGUAUGAAGCUUGAUGAUAGUUGUUGAGGAAAACCAGAGAUUGUCUUGCUCUGAAGGUUGAUGUGAUGACGAAGGUGAUUAUGUAUGAAGCUGCGAAGAUCCAGUAACUCGUUGGAGAUGCUGAUUAUUGAUGGUGAAGAGGAGAAGGAUUGAAGCUCGAAUCCAAAGGAAGAUUGCAGAGAGAAUCGUUUUUACAGAGAGUUGAAGAAGAGGGAGAAUGGAGUGUGAAGAUGAAGAUUGUGAAAUGGUG